UAUAUUAAGCGUCCUAGACAACCAACAUGGCCGACACAGAUGAUAAAACUGAAAAAGAGAAAACAACUUCAAAUAAGGACAAGGUUAAAAAAGAUAAAGAAAAUGAAAAACUGAAAACAAGUACAGAAAACAAGGGUAAAACUGAUAGUUCUACACCAAAGAAAGACAGUGAUAUUCCAGAAGCUGUUUGACUCUAAAAGACAAUACUAAACAUGACAAUUUUGAUAAAAGCUUCUGACACUAAAGAUGAAAAAUACUGAACAUGUUGACACUAAAGCUAAUGAUACAGAUGUUGACAAUGUAAACACAAAUGCUGAUAAGGAACAAACACCAAGAUGUAAAGACUAGCAAAAAAAGACAAUAAGGCUGGUAAAUCUUCAGAUAAGGCUAGUACAAAGGUUGGAGAAAGUUCUGUUGGAAGUGUUCCUGUAACAAAGUUGGUUCAGAGUCAUUAUAAAACUCAUACAAAGUCUACAUUACCUCAUGUGCUCACAGAGUAUGGACUGGAAGAUAAAGAACACCCAAAGAAAGAGAAAAGGAAGAGACGGAAGAAGAAAAUAGAGGUGGCUAGUGAUACAGAAGAUGAUGAAAAGUCAAGGAGAAAGGCCAAAGAUGAU